rnacentral:lncRNA from 1 species
CAUCCCAAAUUGUAAGUCAUUCUAAGAAUUUUGGAGAGUCAAAGUAUCCAAAUUUUUUACUAAGUCACUCCUCCAUCCCAAAUUAUAAAUUAUUCCAAAAAUUUUGAAGAAUCAAAAUAUCUCAAGUUUGAUCAAAUUUUUUACUAAGUUUGACCAUCUAGCCGUGAGCAGCUUCCUAGCGAGUGGGCUGAGCUGAUUGGGCCGGCUGUUGGCCCAUAUAACACUCACGGCCGCCUUCGUCAGGUCGAAUCUCUACCGCUUAGUUUGGAUUCAACGGCUAGGAUGACCCUCGACCCGGACGGUAAAUGAAAUACCGUCCACCCCGGGCGGUAUAUGGAGUACCGUCCAGGCGUC